rnacentral:rRNA from 1 species
AGAGUUUGAUCCUGGCUCAGAUUGAACGCUGGCGGCAUGCUUUACACAUGCAAGUCGAGCGGCAGCGCGGGGGCAACCCUGGCGGCGAGCGGCGAACGGGUGAGGAAACCAUCGGAACGUGCCCGAGAGUGGGGGAUAACGCCGCGAAAGCGGCGCUAAUACCGCAUAUUCUCUGAGGAGGAAAGUGGGGGACCGCAAGGCCUCACGCUCCCGGAGCGGCCGAUGUCGGAUUAGCUAGUUGGUGGGGUAAAGGCUUACCAAGGCGACGAUCCGUAGCUGGUCUGAGAGGAUGAUCAGCCACACUGGAACUGAGACACGGUCCAGACUCCUACGGGAGGCAGCAGUGGGGAAUAUUGGACAAUGGGCGCAAGCCUGAUCCAGCCACGCCGCGUGAGUGAUGAAGGCCUUCGGGUCGUAAAGCUCUGUGGGGAGAGACGAACCGCUGGGGUAACCCUUCAGCAUGACGGUAUCUCCUUAGCAAGCACCGGCUAACUUCGUG